rnacentral:lncRNA from 1 species
UUGAGAAAUAAUUUGUUUUCCUGGGGAGAAGCAAGGUUUAUCUGUGCCGGCAGCUGGGAUUUCUCUUUUCCUUUUAUGGUAGGAAAAAAGAGCAUUUUUAAACCUUUCGGAAAGACAUCCUACUUUAAUUAGAUCAGACUUUAAAAGAGGUUUAGGUUGCCAGAGGGGAAAGUGCCUCUUGUGUGGCCUGGAAGCUCUAUGGUCCAACCCCACCCCCUCACAGAUGGCUCUGUGAACAUUGACCCUAGAGUCAGAGUCCUGGAG